UACAGAGGAGCCAAGCGUUGUCCGGAUUGACUGGGCGUAAAGCGCGCGUAGGCGGCUUUGCAAGUCGGGUGUGAAAUCCCCAGGCUUAACCUGGGAACUGCAUUCGAGACUGCAUUGCUAGAGUAUGGGAGAGGGAAGUGGAAUUUCCGGUGUAGCGGUGAAAUGCGUAGAUAUCGGAAGGAACAUCAGUGGCGAAAGCGACUUCCUGGACCAAUACUGACGCUCAUGUGCGAAAGCGUGGGGAGCAAACAGG
rnacentral:rRNA from 1 species